UCAGUUUUAGUAUAAAUUUAUUACGAAGGUCUUGUAAACCUUAAGUCUGUCCACCUACAGAAACUGAA
rnacentral:tRNA from 1 species